GACGAACGCUGGCGGCGUGCUUAACACAUGCAAGUCGAACGGAAAGGCCCUGCUUUUGUGGGGUGCUCGAGUGGCGAACGGGUGAGUAACACGUGAGUAACCUGCCCUUGACUUUGGGAUAACUUCAGGAAACUGGGGCUAAUACCGGAUAGGAGCUCCUGCUGCAUGGUGGGGGUUGGAAAGUUUCGGCGGUUGGGGAUGGACUCGCGGCUUAUCAGCUUGUUGGUUGGGUAGUGGCUUACCAAGGCUUUGACGGGUAGCCGGGCUGAGAGGGUGACCGGCCACAUUGGGACUGAGAUACGGCCCAGACUCGUACGGGAGGCAGCAGUGGGGAAUAUUGCACAAUGGGCGGAAGCCUGAUGCAGCAACGCCGCGUGCGGGAUGACGGCCUGCGGGUUGUGAACCGCUGUCGCCUGUGACGAAGCGUGAGUGACGGUAAUGGGUAAAGAAGCACCGGCUAACUACGUG
rnacentral:rRNA from 1 species